CCUACGGGGCGCAGCAGUGGGGAAUAUUGCACAAUGGGGGAAACCCUGAUGCAGCAACGCCGCGUGAGUGAAGAAGUAUUUCGGUAUGUAAAGCUCUAUCAGCAGGGAAGAAGAUGACGGUACCUGAAUAAGAAGCCCCGGCUAACUACGUGCCAGCAGCCGCGGUAAUACGUAGGGGGCAAGCGUUAUCCGGAUUUACUGGGUGUAAAGGGAGCGCAGACGGCAGUGCAAGUCUGAUGUGAAAACCCGGGGCUCAACCCCGGGACUGCAUUGGAAACUGUGCGGCUGGAGUGUCGGAGAGGCAA
rnacentral:rRNA from 1 species